rnacentral:lncRNA from 3 species
CCCGCCGACACCAUUUGGGGGAAGGAAGCCUCAGAGAAGGGAGGGCCACUAAAGGUUGCGGCCAUAGAGACCGCCCGCAUCGAUUCCACGCCCUCCAACGCCCUUUUAGGGAAGGAAGCCUCAAAGGAGGGAGGGCCGCCGAACAAUGUGGUUGAGGAUAAUCCAAGGAAAAGGGUGGAGACGAAGAGGGAGCUGGACAAAAGAUAA